GAAACGACUGCUAAGACUGGAUAGGAAAUAAAAAGGCAUCUUUUUAUUUUUAAAAAACCUUUUUCGGAAGGUAUGCUUAAAGAGGGGCUUGCGUCACAUUAGUUAGUUGGCAGGGUAAAGGCCUACCAAGACUAUGAUGUGUAGCUGGACUGAGAGGUUGAACAGCCACAUUGGGACUGAGACACGGCCCAAACUCCUACGGGAGGCAGCAGUAGGGAAUUUUCGGCAAUGGAGGAAACUCUGACCGAGCAACGCCGCGUGAACGAUGAAGUAUUUCGGUAUGUAAAGUUCUUUUAUUGAAGAAGAAAAAAUAGUGGAAAAACUAUCUUGACGAUAUUCAAUGAAUAAGCCCCGGCAAACUAUGUGCCAGCAGCCGCGGUAAUACAUAGGGGGCGAGCGUUAUCCGGAAUUAUUGGGCGUAAAGGGUGCGUAGGCGGUUUAAUAAGUCUAUAGUUUAAUUUCAGUGCUUAACACUGUCCUGCUAUAGAAACUAUUAGACUAGAGUGAGAUAGAGGCAAGUGGAAUUCCAUGUGUAGCGGUAAAAUGCGUAAAUAUAUGGAGGAACACCAGAGGCGUAGGCGGCUUGCUGGGUCUUUACUGACGCUGAGGCACGAAAGCGUGGGGAGCAAACAGGAUUAGAUACCCUGGUAGUCCACGCCGUAAACGAUGAGUACUAAGUGUCGGGAUUACUCGGUACUGAAGUUAACACAUUAAGUACUCCGCCUGAGUAGUACGUACGCAAGUAUGAAACUUAAAGGAAUUGACGGGACUCCGCACAAGCGGUGGAUCAUGUUGUUUAAUUCGAAGAUACACGAAAAACCUUACCAGGUCUUGACAUACUCUGCAAAGCUAUAGCAAUAUAGUGGAGGUUAUCAGGGAUACAGGUGGUGCAUGGUUGUCGUCAGCUCGUGUCGUGAGAUGUUAGGUUAAGUCCUAAAACGAGCGCAACCCUUGUCAUUAGUUGCCAGCAUGUCAUGAUGGGCACUUUAAUGAGACUGCCAAUGAAAAAUUGGAGGAAGGUGAGGAUCACGUCAAAUCAUCAUGCCCCUUAUGAUCUGGGCUACAAACGUGAUACAAUGGCUGUUACAAAGAGUAGCUGAAACGCAAGUUUAUAGCCAAUCUCAUAAAAGCAGUCUCAGUUCGGAUUGAAGUCUGCAACUCGACUUCAUGAAGUUGGAAUCGCUAGUAAUCGCGAAUCAGCAUGUCGCGGUGAAUACGUUCUCGGGGUUUGUACACACCGCCCGUC
rnacentral:rRNA from 1 species